UGAGUACGAGCUGCUACGGCAGCGAAGUGGGUGAUGUCAAGCUUCCAAGAAAAGCCCUAUACCCGUUAAGGCAUGACGGCCUGUACCCGAAACCGACACAGGUGGGGUGGUAGAGAAUACCGAGGGGCGCGAGAUAACUCUCUCUAAGGAACUCGGCAAAAUGGCCCCGUAACUUCGGGAGAAGGGGUGCCACCGCAAGGUGGUCGCAGUGAAGAGGCCCAGGCGACUGUUUACCAAAAACACAGGUCUCCGCUAAGUCGCAAGACGAUGUAUGGGGGCUGACGCCUGCCCAGUGCCGGAAGGUUAAGGAAGCUGGUCAGCGCAAGCGAAGCUAGCGACUGAAGCCCCGGUGAACGGCGGCCGUAACUGUAACGGUCCUAAGGUAGCGAAAUUCCUUGUCGGGUAAGUUCCGACCCGCACGAAAGGCGUAACGAUCUGGGCGCUGUCUCGGAGAGAGGCUCGGCGAAAUAGAAUUGUCUGUGAAGAUGCGGACUACGUGCACCCGGACAGAAAGACCCUAUGAAGCUUUACUGUAGCUUGGUAUUGUGCCCGGGCUCUGAAUGCGCAGGAUAGGUGGGAGGCUUUGAUCCAUUGCUUGUGGGUAGUGGUGAGCCAACGGUGAGAUACCACUCUUUCAGAGCCAGGGUUCUAACCCUCACCCGUUAUCCGGGGAGGGGACAGUAUCAGGUGGGCAGUUUGACUGGGGCGGUCGCCUCCUAAAAGGUAACGGAGGCGCGCAAAGGUUUGCUCAGGCUGGUUGGAAAUCAGCCGACGAGUGUAAAAGCAGAAGCAAGCUUGACUGUGAGACCAACAAGUCGAACAGGGACGAAAGUCGGCUUUAGUGAUCCGACGGUUCUGAGUGGAAGGGCCGUCGCUCAACGGAUAAAAGUUACUCUAAGGAUAACAGGCUGAUCUCCCCCAAGAGUUCACAUCGACGGGGAGGUUUGGCACCUCGAUGUCGGCUCAUCGCAACCUGGGGCUGAAGUCGGUCCCAAGGGUUGGGCUGUUCGCCCAUUAAAGCGGUACGCGAGCUGGGUUCAGAACGUCGUGAGACAGUUCGGUCCAUAUCCGGUGCAUGCGUAAGAACAUUGACAGGAUUUCUCCCUAGUACGAGAGGACCGGGAGGAACGCACCUCUGGUGUACCAGUUAUCGUGCCAACGGUAAACGCUGGGUAGCCAUGUGCGGAGAGGAUAACCGCUGAAAGCAUCUAAGUGGGAAGCCCACCUGAAGAUGAGUGUUCUCAUGGCUUAAGCCAGUAAGGUCACGGGAAGAACACCCGUUGAUAGGCUCUACGUGGAAGCGCAGCAAUGCGUGAAGCGGAGGAGUACUAAUAGACC
rnacentral:rRNA from 1 species